rnacentral:lncRNA from 1 species
CAAAAUGAGCUACUUUCAUGGCCGAUUAUACAUCAUCAUUAACAUUUCUCAUUGUCGAAUCAUAUAACCAACAUCACAAUCAUAUUUAACAUGAAACAUACCUCCAAAUUAAGCUUAUAACAUGACCAAAUAUAUAUAUACCAACAUUAGUAUCAUGAUCAAGCCAUUUUCGCAUGGUUAUAUACAUAUAUACAAAUUUCAAAACCAAACAUAUCAAAACUAGCCUAUACAUGCCACAUAACCAAAAACUCAAAGCUUAUAUUUACCGAAGCAAUAAAUGGAUGUGUGAUGAGGUCUCCUAUGACUUCCAACCCGAGCAAGUCUCUGAAACUCUAUAAACAUAGAAAGAAAACACACAAAGUAAGCUUAGAAAGCUUAGUAAGCCAUAAGCAAAUAAAUCAUCUCAAUGAUAUUUAUAAUUCAAUUUAACUAGGCCGAAUUUAGAAAAUCUCAACCACAUAUACAUCCAUCAUACUCGUAAAUUCUUAUGACCACAUUAAGUAACUUCACUUAUCUUAUUAUCAAUGAACAUAUAAACCAUGCUUUCAAAUUCGAAUAGCAACCGUUAGCUUAAUCAUAUAAAUUAAAUUUGCACAUAUUAAUUACAUAACCAACCAGAACAAGUCAUGUUUUACUAGCCAUUUCACAUAUAUGUUAACCAUGCAUCAUAACACCACCAUCUCGAUAUCAAUUAUCUAAUCCAAAUUUCAAACCAAAUUAGCAUACCUCAACACCAUGUUUCAUGUUUCAUAAUUCCCAUGUUCGAACAUAUGACCACAAUUUCAUAUAACGAGCAUAUGUAACACAAUGUUUAUUUGUAUACAUUCAUUUCAUUCAUUGUCAUAUAUUUCACAUAUCGUCAUUUUAAACAUACUCACCUUUCAAUUUUUGAAUAACAUAUACACUUCGUAUGUACCUGAAUCAGAUAUACUUUCACAUAGUCAUCCAUUUCUCGAUAUUGCCCGUUGAACCAUUCGAAAUCAAUAAGGAUACUCGGAUAGCUCAAAAAGCUCAUACAACGCCAUAUCCUAGAUAUGGUCUUACAUGUUAUCACAUAUCGAUGCCACUGUCCCACACAGGGUCUUACACGAAAUCAUAUACGAUGCCGAUGUCCCAGACAUGGUCUUACACGUACAUCACAAAUCGAUGCCAAUAUCCCAAACGUGGUCUUACACGAUAACACAUCUCGAAAUCCUAUGUCAUGACAUAUGUAUCAUAUAAUAUUCCUAUAGUUCGUACGGGGCUUUCGGACGUCAUCAUUCAAUCAAUUCCAGCUCGAAACACGUCAUUCCAUGCUCAAUUCAAUUCGGUAAUAUGUAUAUAAAUACAAUUCAAUUUGGUAAUAUAUAAAACAUAUACAUUUGAAUUCAAGAAUAUUUAUUCACUUAUGAACUUACCUCGUACGGACACGAAUGAACUGGAACGAUUAUUCAAUAACUUUCAACUUCCCCCGAUCCAAUUCUGAUUUCUUCCUUUCUUGAUCUUGAUCAAAGAUACAAGUGCCGAAUGCAUGAGAGCUCAAAAAUGGUGUUUUCUUUCUUUAGAAAUUUGGCAUUCACCAAAAGGAUGGACUAAAGUCAUGUUUUGGUUUAUUUAAUUAACCAUUAUUUAUUUAAUUACCAAAAUGUCCAUUAAUAAAACAUAAAUAAAACACUUAAUGGUUGUCCAUCUUUGUCCACCCAAUUAUUCAAUGGUCAAAUCACAACAUAAGGACCACACCUUUAAUUAACUAAAGCAAAUAAGCACUUUAACUUAUAGCAUGCUACUUUUCAAUUUUAUGCGAUUACGUCCUUUUUAUCGAAUUAACCACUCAAACGGUAAAAUUUCUUUACAAAAUUUUCACAUAAACAUCCUAUCAUACUAUAAACAUUAAUAAAAUAAUAAAAUAAUUAUUUUUACCUCAGAUUGUGGUCUCAAAACCACUGUUUUGACUAACCCUAAAAGCAGGCUGUUACAAUUUUCUUAUGAUUCAAAUGCAGUCCGAUUGAGCUUUUGUUGAGCUAACGGAGGGACCAAUCGGACAUAUACAAUUAGGCUCAAGUAAAUUACAAUUAUGUCUAGAAGCAUCAUUCCGAUAAUUCGCAAUUACUUAAUCAUUGAGUCAGUCCAUAAGAAGUACCAUGAUUGAAAAUUCCUUAUUGUAUACUCUUUACGAAAGCAAUUCAUCUAGCUGUUUUGUCAAGUAACCUUGUCAUGUGUGUGUUGUCCUCAUAUGAUAUCCUUGAUUCCUUUGAGUUAAAUACGUUCACUCAAUACAAUACAAUUUUAUCUCAUUGUCACCAUUGUGCCUUCUUAAUGAUUAAUAUGAUCACUGUCAACUAAUGACUUUGAUAAAUUGCUCGUUCGAGAAUAAGCAACCUGUGACCACAUUCCAUAUUUAUCAAUCCACAUACUACCAAUGAGAGGAUAUCAUUAACUCUUUAAUCAAGAUAUUUAUCCUAUUUUUUCUAGUAAAACCAUGCCAUACACAAGUCAUGUACCCAACAUACCAGCUAUCGGCUCAAUCAUAUUUAGAGCAUAAGCCUCCAUUUAUAUCAAAGCACAUGAGUUACAUAUAAGAUCAUGGUCAGUGACUAACUCAGGAUUUAGGUAAGUCACACCAUGAAAGUCACAAGUGAAUUAGUUCACAAGCGGAUUCAGAAUUAAUUCAACUUGGGUCCAGUCUAAUGUAUCAUCCUUCUAAUGAAUACAUCUAUGUCUCUACCCAUGGAGUCAAUUGCUCCGAUAGCCAAGACUAGUCAUCUCCCUAAUUAGAAUUGUAGACGACAUAAUAAUUCUUCUGAGUAUUUUAAUCAAAUGCUUACUUUGAUUAUUUUAUGACAUUACAGACUUGAUUAGGUCAUCUACUGAAGUAAGUUGACUUUCUCUCAAUGUAAAUGUUCUUAGAAUGCCACUUAUCAUCAGUUUGAACUUAGACAAUCAACGAGCUAACAUUUGUUUGUCACAAUUUUGCUAUGUAUGUAAAACAUGAAAGACAGAAACACAAAAAAUAUAAUAGUGAAAUGUGAAAUUAACUUUAUUUAUUUAUUCAUCAUUCAAAUGCAUAGAAAUAGUUACAUAUUUACUAAAAUAUGGGCACAUUUCCCAAUAAUUUAACGGUGGAUAGGCAACAGUGACAAUGACACAAAAAUUGCAGAGAAAAAAUGGUGACGAUAGUAGCGUGAACCAAUUCCGCAGUGGAAGUCCGUAGUGGCAAAAUAGAAGACUCAAAGUAUGUUUUAGGGUGAAUUUUGUAAUUUUAUGUUUUUAUAUGUGAUAGCAUGAUGAUAUUUAUUUGACUACGAAUGUAUAUUCAUGUAUAUGUAUGAUAAGCAUGCCAUAUAGUUUAGCGAAAGAAUGUCACAUGUACUUAUACAUAUAUUGAUCAUUCAUGAUUGAAACCAGACAUUAAAAAUCUUGCAUGUAUUUUAAAAUAUUGAGUGAGAGCAUGUCCCUAAACAAGACCUACAACCUCUAUCAAUGGUCUUUUACAAUGGCAUGAAAAUUAAACUACCCCACUGUAAGAUUGUCAUGUGGACCUCACUGAGGAGAUUUCCUAAAAAUAAGAAAAAUUAUCUUGUAAUCAUAUGAUGGUUGGCUAACCCAGUUGUAGGUAUUAUCAUGCAAUAUAACAAGAAGUUUCUCUUCAAGGAGGACAACUAGUCACAACAUGUUACUAGGUGGGAUUGUCCCAUGAUGACUCAUUUGUGGUAUAUAAUUUGAUAGGUGUUGAGUUGAUGUUUAUACACUUAAGAUCUUACUUAACUUCCCACGAAGCUCUACUUAAGUUAGAAUGAUUGUCAAACGUUAAACGAUUAUUAGUACCUGUGAAGGCCUGAGGAAUUAGGUUCUUGUACUAAUUGGAUUGAAAGUCAUGUUCUUACUAGUUGGUUAAGAUUGCCCCAAGGUGUCUUGAUUCAAUGAGUGUAGGAAUUAUCAUUGCCACGGCUUACAAAUGCUUUCAAGGUUUAAUGUAAGACACAAGCAUCAUCUUAAUGCAUAUUGUAAGUUGUAAAAUAUUUUCAAAUAUUUGUUUGACAUAAAGAUAUUAAUGAAUGAAUAUUUUAGUUUCAGUUCGAAAAUGACAUCUACUCCUUUAUUAAAUAUACUCACUAAGAACAAACUAAAUGAAAACAACUAUAAGGAAUAGAAAAGGAAUCUGAUGAUUAUCCCAAGUUGUAAGAAACUAAAGACAGCCCUUGAUAAUAAAUGCCCUCCUGCCACUCAAGUUGAGGCUAGAAAACUCUAAGAGGAGUCUAAUAAGAUGGCUCGUUGCUAUAUGUUGACAAGCGUGACCAACUCCCUUUAUAAGCAACUGGAAAGCUGUAAGAUUGUCAAAGCGAUUUUAGACAAACUAGAAGAUAUGUUUGAAGACCAAGUUGUCUUGGCUCGACAAUCUGUUAUUACUAGUUCGAUGAAUGUCCAGCAAAAUCUCGGCACUCCAGUCAAAGACCAUGUAAUCUCUUUUAUGAGAUACUUUGUUGAGAUCGCAGAUAAUGAGGUCAAUCUAGACCAAAACACACAGAUUAAGAUGGUGUUCAAAAGCUUUUCCAAUGGUUUUGCAGACUUUCGAACCGCAUAUAACCUUGGGAACAAGAAUCUGACACUUAUGCAACUUAUGAAGGAAUUACAAUCCUAUGAGAUAAUAUUGAAUGACAAUUAGCCAGUCCAAAAAAUAGAAGCUAACUUAGCUAUUACUUCUUCCUUUAAAGGGAAGGGAAAGAACGCUAAGAGAAGCAAGACUUAGUUCUCUAGGCCACCUUAACUGGAAAGGAAGAGAACCAAGAGACCUAAAGACUUAUCUACGUCUAAGUGUUUCUUCUGCAGUAAGAAAUGACAUUUCAAGGCGAACUGCAAAGAGUGGAAGGAUUUCUUGGCCACUAAAGGAAAAGGUAUAGAACUCUUUAUGAUAGAAGCUUGUUUAGUGGAAGAUUCAAUAAACCACUAGGUUAUUAAUUUGAUAGCCACUAAUAAUGUGUGUGUUUCGCUAAAGGGGUUCAAGGAGACGAAAGAUCUUAAAGAUAAGAGUCUAUCGUUUCGGAUCGAAAAUAGGACAAUUGUGGCAACUGAAGUUGUGGGAGAGAGAUUUACAUCUCUAUUUUGAUAAUUUUAGGAAGAUUAUUUUGAAAGACGUUUUCUAUGUACCAAGUUUCAAAAGGUGUAACACCCCUUACCCGAGACCGUUUCCGGAAUCGAGUACGAGGCAUUACUUAGCUUAUCUUACUAAUUCGGGGCAUAAAAAUUCGUUUUAAAAAUUAAUUUCACUGUUUACAGUAAUCUGUCCAAUCGCGCAGCAGUUACUAAAUUGAUUAUAACUCGAGCUACGGAACUCCAAAUUUAAUUUCGUAAAUUUUCCCUGAAACUAGACUCAUAUAUACUCACCAUAAAAUUUUUAGAAUUUUUGGUUCAGCAAAUUAGUACAGUUUAUUAGUUAAAGUCUCCCCUGUGUCACCACCAUACUGCCCUAACCUCUAGUCACUAAAAAUAAGUUUUCUCACUAUAGGAUUUUCAUAUGAAGUUCUUACUUAUUUCUAUAGAAAAUAGACUCAUUAAGGAAUCUAAGCAUGUAAAUUUCAACUCAUAACCAUUUUUUUACAAUUUGUAAUUAUUUUCUAAACUCAGAACAGGGGACUCCAAAAACAAUUAUGACCCUAUCUUACUAAAAUUCACAUAUCUUAAAAUAUAAAUUUCUUUUCUCUACACCGUUAUUUUUCCAUGAAAAUAGACUCAACAAGCUUUAAUUUCAUAUAUCAUUCACCCUCUAAUUCAUUUUAUACUAUCUUGGGUGAUUUUUCAAAUUCAAGUCACUAUUGCUGCCUGAAUUCUGUUUCUUUGCAAAAUUUUACCAUUUUAUGACUUUCAUACCUAAUUUAUCACUUAGACUUUUAUAACAAUAAUUAACUUCAUCCUUGACCAUUUAAACAACCAUUCAUCAUCAAAUACUUACACAUCAUUCUAUAGUAAAAUCAUAUUUACAAAUAUACAAAAUUACUAAAUUCCUAUACAUGCCAUAACUAAAAGAAAUGUUCACCACCACAAUUAGCUCAGAAUCGGCUUUGGAUGCUGAUUCAACAAUCCGACUUUGACCUAACCUGCGCACGGAAACAACCGUACGCUGAGUAUGGAAAUACUCAGUGGUAUUACCAUAAUUCGAAUUAAUAACAUUAAUCGAUAAAUUAUAUACAUUUUAUUUAUGUCUACAAUUAUUCAUUAAUUAUCUCAUGCAUUAAAUCAACUUGAUAAUUAAUAACAAUAAGCUAUAAUUCAAAUCUUGUAUUUAAUUGUAUUCAUACCUUAUUUCACUAUCUCAAUUCCAUUGGAUUUUUCUUUACAUCUCAUUCCAAUAGUUCAUUUCAAUUCAUAUACAAUUCAUUUCAUUUAAUUUAUAUUCAAUAUAAAUUUUAUUGCAAUUUGUACUCACUAAUAUCAUAUAACAAAAUUUACUCUUUAUCACAUCAUGAACUUUGGGCUCAUAUCUUUAAAUCUCUUAUUUCGAUUUCCAAUUCACACAUCAAUUCACAACUUCACUUUUUCGUUUCUUCCCAUAGCUCAAUCAAUCACAUUUAUUCAAUUUUCUCAUUUCAAUUAUUUACCCCUAUUAACAAGACUCGGACCUUGGCGGAUACACGGAUCCAACCAAACACACCAAAAUGGCACCCAGUGCCUCAUCGGAUAGUUCGACGCAAUAGUUGACACCCAGUGUCUCAUCGGCCCAGCCGAAGUAAAGUUGGUACCCAGUACCUCAUCGAAUCUAUCCGAAGAAAUAUAGUGACACCCAGUGUCUCAUCGACUCAAGGUCGAAGUAUCCCUGAACUCUUCCAAUCCUAUGGCAUGCCAACUAUAUCCGACUCAGCCCGACUAGUUAAUAGGGUUUCCGAAUCACAUUUCAAUUCAAUCACUUUCUCAUACUUUCAAUUCAAAUCAUUCCCAUUUAAUCACCAUUUGUUUCAAUACAUUUUUCUAUUUCAAAUUCACUUUCGAUUUAAUCGCAAUUCAACUCAGAUUCACUUCCCACUUUCAAAUCAAUAUACAAUUCAAUACCAAUACAUAUUUCAGAUAUUCACAUAUAAUCAUACUUCGAUUCAAUUCAAACCACUUUUCAAUCAAUACACAAUUCACAUAUUCACAUAUCUCAAUUUAAUAUCUCAUUUAUUCAAUUCAUAUUUUAAUUCAUUCAAUUAAAUAUUGAUAUUCUCCUUAUUUUUAUUUACUAACAUAUUAUUCAAAAUUCAAUAAUUACUGUCAAUAAAUUCAAUAUCAAUACGUAUAUAUAUUAUUCAAUUCAAUUAUGAAACUCACCUCAAUUUGCUUAUCGUGUAUAUUAAUUUAAUUUUCAACGAUUAAUAAUUAAAUUCGAAUUAUAGUAAUACUAACCGUAAUUUCUCUCGAGUCACUCCUUGUCCACUUUCUCCUUUCCUUUCUCGGACAAUGAUUCGUACACGACAUUAACUACGUAAUUAAACAAUUAAAAAUCAUUAAUACACAAUUUCAUUAAAAUAUUUCCUUUUAUACCUAAACUUUACCCAAAUUCUAAUUUAAUCCCUUACCAAUACUAAUUUUAUUUUUCUCAAUCUAACUCUAUAUUCUCUCUUAAUUCUUACUAAACUCAUAUUUAACUAUUUAAUUUUUAUCAUGUUUUCAUAAUUCCGAAUUUAUUUCAAAUUAAUCCCUAAAAUUCAAAACUUAUAGUUUAGUUUACAAUUCAAUCCUUUAUUCAAUUCCAAUCAAAAUUUCUAUCAAAUACAUCCCUAAUUUAACAAUUUAUUCAACAUGAACCAUGCUUAAUAAUCUACUAACUUUCAAAAUUUCAACUUAAAUCAAGUAGUAUUUUAUUCUAGGAUUUCAAAAAAAAUAUCAAAAUUAAGAGAAAAGGGGAUUAAAUUGACUUACCAAAUUACUUUGAACCUUAAAACCCCGAAUUUCCCUUUUUCUUUUCUUUUCUUUCUUUCUUUCCUUCCUUCCUUCUCUGUUUCGUUUUGCUCUCUGUUUCUUUCUUUCUCCCUUCUCUGUUUUGUUUUGCUCUCUGUUUCUUUUCUUUCUUUCUUUGUCAUAUAUAUAUAUAUAUAUAAUAUAAUAUAAUAUAAAAUAAUAAUAAUAAUCAUUACUUACAUAUAUAUAUAUAUAUUAACUAGAAUAUCUCAGAUAUUUCUUUCAUUAUGCCGCCUCAACUUUAGAAAAAGGCAUAAUUGCCUAUUUGGUCCU